rnacentral:rRNA from 1 species
GGGUUGUGAGGUUAAGCGACUAAGCGUACACGGUGGAUGCCCUGGCAGUCAGAGGCGAUGAAGGGCGUGCUAAUCUGCGAUAAGCGCCGGUAAGGUGAUAUGAACCGUUAUAACCGGCGAUACCCGAAUGGGGAAACCCAGUGUGAUUCGUCACACUAUCAUUAACUGAAUCCAUAGGUUAAUGAGGCGAACCGGGGGAACUGAAACAUCUAAGUACCCCGAGGAAAAGAAAUCAACCGAGAUUCCCCCAGUAGCGGCGAGCGAACGGGGAGGAGCCCAGAGCCUGAAUCAGCAUGUGUGUUAGUGGAAGCGUCUGGAAAGGCGCGCGAUACAGGGUGACAGCCCCGUACACAAAAGCGCAUGUGCUGUGAGCUCGAUGAGUAGGGCGGGACACGUGGUAUCCUGUCUGAAUAUGGGGGGACCAUCCUCCAAGGCUAAAUACUCCUGACUGACCGAUAGUGAACCAGUACCGUGAGGGAAAGGCGAAAAGAACCCCGGCGAGGGGAGUGAAAAAGAACCUGAAACCGUGUACGUACAAGCAGUGGGAGCACNNNNNNNNNNNNNNNACUGCGUACCUUUUGUAUAAUGGGUCAGCGACUUAUAUUCUGUAGCAAGGUUAACCGAAUAGGGGAGCCGGAGGGAAACCGAGUCUUAAUUGGGCGUUAAGUUGCAGGGUAUAGACCCGAAACCCGGUGAUCUAGCCAUGGGCAGGUUGAAGGUUGGGUAACACUAACUGGAGGACCGAACCGACUAAUGUUGAAAAAUUAGCGGAUGACCUGUGGCUGGGGGUGAAAGGCCAAUCAAACCGGGAGAUAGCUGGUUCUCCCCGAAAGCUAUUUAGGUAGCGCCUCGUGAAUUCAUCUCCGGGGGUAGAGCACUGUUUCGGCUAGGGGGCCAUCCCGGCUUACCAACCCGAUGCAAACUGCGAAUACCGGAGAAUGUUAUCACGGGAGACACACGGCGGGUGCUAACGUCCGUCGUGAAGAGGGAAACAACCCAGACCGCCAGCUAAGGUCCCAAAGUCAUGGUUAAGUGGGAAACGAUGUGGGAAGGCCCAGACAGCCAGGAUGUUGGCUUAGAAGCAGCCAUCAUUUAAAGAAAGCGUAAUAGCUCACUGGUCGAGUCGGCCUGCGCGGAAGAUGUAACGGGGCUAAACCAUGCACCGAAGCUGCGGCAGCGACACUGUGUGUUGUUGGGUAGGGGAGCGUUCUGUAAGCCUGUGAAGGUGUGUCGUGAGGCAUGCUGGAGGUAUCAGAAGUGCGAAUGCUGACAUAAGUAACGAUAAAGCGGGUGAAAAGCCCGCUCGCCGGAAGACCAAGGGUUCCUGUCCAACGUUAAUCGGGGCAGGGUGAGUCGACCCCUAAGGCGAGGCCGAAAGGCGUAGUCGAUGGGAAACGGGUUAAUAUUCCCGUACUUGGUGUUACUGCGAAGGGGGGACGGAGAAGGCUAUGUUGGCCGGGCGACGGUUGUCCCGGUUUAAGCGUGUAGGUGUGUGUUCCAGGUAAAUCCGGUUCACUUUAACACUGAGGCGUGACGACGAGGCACUACGGUGCUGAAGCAACAAAUGCCCUGCUUCCAGGAAAAGCCUCUAAGCAUCAGGUAACAUCAAAUCGUACCCCAAACCGACACAGGUGGUCAGGUAGAGAAUACCAAGGCGCUUGAGAGAACUCGGGUGAAGGAACUAGGCAAAAUGGUGCCGUAACUUCGGGAGAAGGCACGCUGACACGUAGGUGAAGUGAUUUACUCAUGGAGCUGAAGUCAGUCGAAGAUACCAGCUGGCUGCAACUGUUUAUUAAAAACACAGCACUGUGCAAACACGAAAGUGGACGUAUACGGUGUGACGCCUGCCCGGUGCCGGAAGGUUAAUUGAUGGGGUCAGCGCAAGCGAAGCUCCUGAUCGAAGCCCCGGUAAACGGCGGCCGUAACUAUAACGGUCCUAAGGUAGCGAAAUUCCUUGUCGGGUAAGUUCCGACCUGCACGAAUGGCGUAAUGAUGGCCAGGCUGUCUCCACCCGAGACUCAGUGAAAUUGAACUCGCUGUGAAGAUGCAGUGUACCCGCGGCAAGACGGAAAGACCCCGUGAACCUUUACUAUAGCUUGACACUGAACAUUGAGCCUUGAUGUGUAGGAUAGGUGGGAGGCUUUGAAGUGUGGACGCCAGUCUGCAUGGAGCCGACCUUGAAAUACCACCCUUUAAUGUUUGAUGUUCUAACGUGGACCCGUUACCCGGGUUGCGGACAGUGUCUGGUGGGUAGUUUGACUGGGGCGGUCUCCUCCUAAAGAGUAACGGAGGAGCACGAAGGUUGGCUAAUCCUGGUCGGACAUCAGGAGGUUAGUGCAAUGGCAUAAGCCAGCUUGACUGCGAGCGUGACGGCGCGAGCAGGUGCGAAAGCAGGUCAUAGUGAUCCGGUGGUUCUGAAUGGAAGGGCCAUCGCUCAACGGAUAAAAGGUACUCCGGGGAUAACAGGCUGAUACCGCCCAAGAGUUCAUAUCGACGGCGGUGUUUGGCACCUCGAUGUCGGCUCAUCACAUCCUGGGGCUGAAGUAGGUCCCAAGGGUAUGGCUGUUCGCCAUUUAAAGUGGUACGCGAGCUGGGUUUAGAACGUCGUGAGACAGUUCGGUCCCUAUCUGCCGUGGGCGCUGGAGAACUGAGGGGGGCUGCUCCUAGUACGAGAGGACCGGAGUGGACGCAUCACUGGUGUUCGGGUUGUCAUGCCAAUGGCACUGCCCGGUAGCUAAAUGCGGAAGAGAUAAGUGCUGAAAGCAUCUAAGCACGAAACUUGCCCCGAGAUGAGUUCUCCCUGAGACUUAGAGUCUCCUGAAGGAACGUUGAAGACGACGACGUUGAUAGGCCGGGUGUGUAAGCGCAGCGAUGCGUUGAGCUAACCGGUACUAAUGAACCGUGAGGCUUAACCUUACAACGCCGAAG